UGGGGAAUAUUGCACAAUGGGGGAAACCCUGAUGCAGCGACGCCGCGUGAGUGAAGAAGUAUUUCGGUAUGUAAAGCUCUAUCAGCAGGGAAGAAGAUGACGGUACCUGACUAAGAAGCCCCGGCUAACUACGUGCCAGCAGCCGCGGUAAUACGUAGGGGGCAAGCGUUAUCCGGAUUUACUGGGUGUAAAGGGUGCGUAGGUGGUGUGGCAAGUCAGAAGUGAAAACGCGGGGCUCAACUCCGCGACUGCUUUUGAAACUGUCAGACUGGAGUACAGGAGAGGCAGGCGGAAUUCCUAGUGUAGCGGUGAAAUGCGUAGAUAUUAGGAGGAACACCAGUGGCGAAGGCGGCCUGCUGGACUGUUACUGACACUGAGGCACGAAAGCGUGGGGAGCAAACAGG
rnacentral:rRNA from 1 species